rnacentral:lncRNA from 1 species
UUGGUGUUUGCCUUGAUUAAGGAUGGAAGAGGCGGAGAUGUUUGGAGUUCCAGGCUCUCGGUACUGCUUCGCCUGUUGAAGUCUCGAGGCGGUAUACUCCUGGCUUGAUGACUUCGACUAUCUUGUAUGGUCCUUCCCAGUUGGCUCCGAGCUUGCCGGCUUUCCACUCCUUAGUGUUUUCGAAGACCUUUCUUAAGACAAGGUUGCCCAUUU